UACACAAAUCCAAAGUAUAGCAGCUCCACUUCGGUCUCUUCAAUCCCAGAUCAUUAUUCCUGAAAUCUUACAAAAUCAGCAAUUAACAACGACCCAGCGAGGACCGACAGGUGGUGACCAACCGAGAGGAACAAACGAGACUAUACGAUGAUAUCCGAGAGGACGAACGAUCGACAGGCGACGAGGAGAGACGAAAUCCGACAGACAGACCGAGCGAUGAACCGAGAGGACAACCGACUGACCAAUGACGAGGAGAGACAAUAUCCGACAGAGAAUCGAACUGAAAUUAUAUGGCUUCAGCUGCAUUCAUCAAGCCUCUCCCUGUAAUAGAGUUUGUUACACAGCUUCUAGGCAAUGAUGUGUUGUGUAGGACAUUAUAUGAUUCUGCUUGUGUGAAGCAAUUUGACAGAUCAAUAACGCACGCACUAAUAAAGGUUUCAGACCCUUAAUGCAGUUUACUGAUGAAGAUAUUAAGCAGAACCUGUCAAGUUUGCUCGAGUACUGGAAACAUCAAUUGCUGUUAAGUUGCCAUAUAUUUUACCAGGACCAAAUAUUAAUCAUCACCUGUCUGAAAGCUUUGCAUUAGCCCAUCCCUUUAUUGGAAAAAGAAAAGAAUAUAGGCCUACGCUGAUUACUCACCAAAGUAUAACGAAAGGCUUGUGAAUCCUUCUCUGUCUUCCUUAGCUUUGUGUGUAUGUGACUGUUAGAGCCAAGGCAUAUGUGAGGAAGAAAGAUAGGAAGGGAGCAACUAUGAGGACAUAUGGCAGCAACCUAGGAGGGAUAAGUGUCAAGCAGCAGGAAAAAGUGAAGGCAACCAACCACUACUAACCCAGUGAAGGUGCAACAGGGAAGCAACUAAAGCAGGGGACCACCAAGAUACUGAAUUCUGAGGAGGCAAUCCGGGAUUGGAGAGACAGUUGUGAGGAGAGAGGCAAGGAUAUGGGCCUGGAGAGGAAGGAAGAGAGGGCGGGCAGAAAUUGAGAAGAAAAACUGAAUGGGAGAGACCCAGCCUUUCAAAUGCUGGAUGAGUUGUUGAAGUCCUUUUUUUUUGGUUUGUUUCCAGUUAGUACGUAAAAAGAAUCAAACAGUGGAAAAAGAACUAUUGUAUUUCAUUUCCAGAAAAAUCACUCAAUACACAUUCUCAGUUAAUUUCA